GACGAACGCUGGCGGCGUGCUUAACACAUGCAAGUCGAGCGGAAAGGCUCCUUCGGGGGUACUCGAGCGGCGAACGGGUGAGUAACACGUGAGUAAUCUGCCUCUGGCUUCGGGAUAGCCACCGGAAACGGUGAUUAAUACCGGAUACGACACAUCACUGCAUGGUGCGUGUGUGGAAAGUUUUUUCUGCCAGGGAUGUGCUCGCGGCCUAUCAGCUUGUUGGUGGGGUAAUGGCCUACCACGGCUUCGACGGGUAGCCGGCCUGAGAGGGUGACCGGCCACACUGGGACUGAGACACGGCCCAGACUCCUACGGGGGGCAGCAGUGGGGAAUAUUGGACAAUGGGCGGAAGCCUGAUCCAGCAACGCCGCGUGAGGGAUGACGGCCUUCGGGUUGUAAACCUCUUUCAGCACAGACGAAGCGCAAGUGACGGUAUGUGCAGAAGAAGGACCGGCCAACUACGUGCCAGCAGCCGCCGUAAAAC
rnacentral:rRNA from 1 species